GUGCCAGCCGCCGCGGUAAUACAGAGGUGGCAAGCGUUGUUCGGAUUUACUGGGCGUAAAGGGUGCGUAGGAGGUCGUGUGUGUCGGAUGUGAAAUCUUGCUGUUCAUCGGCAAAACUGCAUUCGAAACUACACGACUAGAGUGCAGGAGAGGAGAGCAGAAUUCUCGGUGUAGCGGUGAAAUGCGUUGAUAUCGAGAGGAAUGCCGGUGGUGAAGACGGCUCUCUGGACUGUAACUGACUCUGAGGCACGAAAGCUAGGGGAGCAAACAGGAUUAGAAACCCUCGUAGUCC
rnacentral:rRNA from 1 species